UGACUUAAAAGGGCUUUAACAAACCCUGGCUUGUCAUUUCCACCUUUCCUUAUCGAUGGCUUUGAGUGAAGAUUGGGAAGGCAUGCCUAUCACAUUUGGGGAAGAAAGUGAGAACACCGGAAGACGUCAUAAACUUCUGAAUGGGUCAGGACAGGCGGGGAGGAUUGGGUCCAUCUAAGCAGGUGAAGUGUGUCCAGUGGAUUUAUUUGCUGACUUAUUCAUUGUGAUGAGGCAAUACACCAAGUUUAUUGGUCCGCAGUUUAACAGGCACACACAGGUAUGCAACAACAAGGCAUUUUCUAUUUCAUCCCACGCCCGGCCAGCUCUCUGUCCUCAGAGGCAAGCAUGGGUACCCAUUUCUUGUGAACUGGUGAAGUUUGAGAAGGAUAAAUGUAGGCCUAACAACUGGGCCCCAGGACCAAGGUGCUAAGGAGGGAUGACCCAAGGGAGCAGUGUCACGUGUCCGAAUGAACCUUCAACAUUUUGGUCAGCGGCUCAGUGCGGGACUUCAUGCAAUGUAGGUGCCAGGAGUAAAAGCGAUGUCUGGCUCCAUCCGGGAAUCCGGGAGGAGGGAGGCUGUCGGCUGCUCUGCCAGCACCUGGAGAAUUGCGUUUAGCUGAGGACCUGGAGCUGUCGUGGAAAUUCGGACCCACGGGAGCCCCGACGUGUCAGAACCACCCUAGGCCAGAGAGAUCGGAGCAGCUCUCACGGCCCCCAGGGAAACACCAGCACUGGAUGCUGCAGGGGUGCGCUUUUGGACAGCAGCUCGUGGUGGGGAGAGCCUGGUCCUGCACCUGGAGAACUCUGUCACCUAAGAGAGACUCCCGUCUCAGUUUGCUCCCCCUAGAGAAGAGGAGUUCUAUAUACUAGGUAAUUUCUUUUCAAAAAC